UACGUAGGGUGCAAGCGUUAUCCGGAAUUAUUGGGCGUAAAGAGCUCGUAGGCGGUUUGUCGCGUCUGCUGUGAAAACUGGAGGCUCAACCUCCAGCCUGCAGUGGGUACGGGCAGACUAGAGUGCGGUAGGGGAGAUUGGAAUUCCUGGUGUAGCGGUGAAAUGCGCAGAUAUCAGGAGGAACACCUAUUGCGAAGGCAGCUCGCUGGGACGUAACUGACGCUGAGACGCGAAAGCGUGGGGAGCAAACAGG
rnacentral:rRNA from 1 species